ACCAGGAUGGCCGAGUGGUGAAGGCGUUGGACUUAAGAUCCAAUGGGCACAUGCCCGCGUGGGUUCGAACCCCACUUCUGGUA
rfam:Chlamydotis undulata macqueenii contig41912, whole genome shotgun sequence.